GAGGGUAUAGCUCAGGGGUAGAGCAUGUGCUUAGCAUGCAUGAGGUCCUGGAUUCAAUCCCCAAUACUUCCA
rnacentral:tRNA from 1 species